UGGCGGACGGGUGAGUAACGCGUAUGAAUCUGCCUUUGAGAGCGGGACAACUUGGGGAAACUCGAGCUAAUACCGCAUGUUGCCUGAGGGUAAAAGAGGGGGUGUUAAAGCCUCUUGCUCGAAGAUGAGCCUGCGUCGGAUUAGCUAGUUGGUGGGGUAAAGGCCUACCAAGGCGAUGAUCCGUAGCUGGUCUGAGAGGACGGACAGCCACACUGGGACUGACACACGGCCCAGACUCCUACGGGAGGCAGCAGUGGGGAAUAUUGGACAAUGGGGGCAACCCUGAUCCAGCAAUGCCGCGUGUGUGAAGAAGGCCUGCGGGUUGUAAAGCACUUUAGUGGGGGAGGAAGGUUGAUGUGUGAAUAUCACAUCUCAUUGACGUUACCCAAAGAAUAAGCACCGGCUAACUCUGUGCCAGCAGCCGCGGUAAUACAGAGGGUGCGAGCGUUAAUCGGAAUUACUGGGCGUAAAGGGCGCGUAGGCGGUUUACUAAGUUGGAUGUGAAAGACCCGGGCUUAACCUGGGAAUUGCAUCCGAGACUGUGAGACUCGAGUCGUGUACAGGGGAGUGGAAUUUCCGGUGUAGCGGUGAAAUGCGUAGAUAUCGGAAAGAACACCGGUGGCGAAGGCGGCUUCCUGGACACAGACUGACACUGAGGCUCGAAAGCGUGGGGAGCAAACAGGAUUAGAUACCCUGGUAGUCC
rnacentral:rRNA from 1 species